UGGGGAAUUUUGGACAAUGGGCGAAAGCCUGAUCCAGCAAUGCCGCGUGUGUGAAGAAGGCCUUCGGGUUGUAAAGCACUUUUGUCCGGAAAGAAAUCCUCUGGGUUAAUACCUCGGGGGGAUGACGGUACCGGAAGAAUAAGCACCGGCUAACUACGUGCCAGCAGCCGCGGUAAUACGUAGGGUGCAAGCGUUAAUCGGAAUUACUGGGCGUAAAGCGUGCGCAGGCGGUUUUGUAAGACGGAUGUGAAAUCCCCGGGCUUAACCUGGGAACUACAUUCGUGACUGCAAGGCUAGAGUAUGGCAGAGGGGGGUAGAAUUCCACGUGUGAGCAGUGAAAUGCGUAGAGAUGUGGAGGAAUACCGAUGGCGAAGGCAGCCCCCUGGGCCAAUACUGACGCUCAUGCACGAAAGCGUGGGGAGCAAACAGGAUUAGAUACCCUGGUAGUCCACGCCCUAAACGAUGUC
rnacentral:rRNA from 1 species